UACGUGGGGACCAAGCGUUGUUCGGAUUUACUGGGCGUAAAGGGCGCGUAGGCGGCGUGUUAAGUCAGCUGUGAAAUCUCCAAGCUUAACUUGGAACGGUCAGCUGAUACUGAUGUGCUAGAGUGCAGAAGGGGCAAUCGGAAUUCUUGGUGUAGCGGUGAAAUGCGUAGAUAUCAAGAGGAACACCUGAGGUGAAGACGGGUUGCUGGGCUGACACUGACGCUGAGGCGCGAAAGCUAGGGUAGCAAACGGG
rnacentral:rRNA from 1 species